rnacentral:rRNA from 1 species
UCGCUCUAGGUGCUCUUCACUGAGUGUCUAGAGUGGCUGGAACUUUUACUUUGAAAAAAUUAGAGUGCUCAAAGCAGGCGUCUCAGCCUGAAUAGUGGUGCAUGGAAUAAUGGAAUAGGACCUCAGUUCUAUUUUGUUGGUUUUCGGAACAUGAGGUAAUGAUUAAGAGGGACAGACGGGGGCAUUCGUAUUGCGACGUUAGAGGUGAAAUUCUUGGAUCGUCGCAAGACAACUACUGCGAAACAUUUGCCAAGAAUGUUUUCAUUAAUCAAGGACGAUAGUUAGAGGUUCGAAGGCGAUCAGAUACCGCCCUAGUUCUAACCGUAAACGAUGUCAACCAGCGAUCCGCAGGGUUUAUUCAUGACUCUGCGGGCAGCUUCCGGGAAACCAAAGUUUUUGGAUUCCUGGGGGAGUAUGGUUGCAAAGUGAAACUUAAAGAAUUGACGGAAGGCACCACCAGGAGUGGGACUGCGGCUUAAUUUGACUCAACGCGGGGAAACUCACCCGGCCCGGACACCGUAAGGAUUGACAGAUUGAGAGCUCUUUCUUGAUUCGGUGGGUGGUGGUGCAUGGCCGUUCUUAGUUGGUGGAGCGAUUUGUCUGGUUAAUUCCGAUAACGAACGAGACUCUAGCCUACUAAAUAGAAGGCAAAUUAUUCGUUUGCUGUACUUCUUAGAGGGACUAGGGGCGUCUAGCCUCACGAGAUUGAGCAAUAACAGGUCUGUGAUGCCCUUAGAUGUCCGGGGCCGCACGCGCGCUACACUGAAGGAUUCAGCAAGUGUUAACCCUGGUCUGAGAAGAUCGGGUAACCUUAUGAAACUCCUUCGUGAUUGGGAUAGGGAAUUGUAAUUAUUUCCCUUGAASGAGGA